UUGCUUUGUCUACAUGAGUCGGGAAGACUGGAGAUAAGAGUGGGAUAGACAUGCAGCCUUGUUUCUGUCGAGCACCAGAAGCCUGCAUCAGGUCCGCUGGACAUCUCCCUUUGGAUGUCUCGUCGAGAGAUUAUUAGUACAACAGGAGACGAGGGGCUAAAGGUAAGGCAGACCCUAUGUAUUUUUCUCCUCGUCUCUGCUUCUCAGACUUGUCCUUUUGGAGAGCAGUGAUAAAGCAGAUGGAUUUAGUUUUUAUGUCAGUCAUCAUCAGCUGGGUGGAAGUUUUUGUGUGAAAGAAAAGGCUAGCAUUAAAUUGAUUGAUGGUUCAUUUUUCCUGUUUGCUCCUUGGUCAUUGGAGUGACACCAGGAGGGCUGUCUCGUUAGAGGAGUGUGAGACAAUGGCUCUGACACACACAGAAUUCAUCGCUUGUAAUUGAUCCCUGGAAAUAGCAUAGUCACACAUCGUCCCCAAUAAAUUUGCCUGCUGAACUACUUGGGACAAUCUACCCUGCACUUUUUUCAAAGGCUAUAAGAAAUUAACAGCAUGUAAUCUCACAAGGAAUAUUUGUCGUCGAAUUUCUCCAACAAAUGGGAGAUGACAAAUAUUUCACAUGUGGAUUAAUAAUUUCACCUUUGAGUUUUCUUCAUUUCCGGUCACAACCAGGCCAUACAAGAUGUACAAAUGUGUGAUUUCAGGCACAGCUGUGGUUGUACAAGGCACAGGUGUUGUGUCCUAGCAGACUUUAGCCUUAGAUCCUAUUGUUGUUAUCACUCCCCUUAUCAAAACAUCCAGGGUUUUUGCCCUAGCAGGUGAUGCUCCAAGAAGGAAGGAAGAAAUAAUUCUCCAACUGGACCCAAUAUUGUCCACCAGGGUUUACUUUCCCCUGGGGACUUGCUCAUAGAAAAUUCCUCUGCCACCAGCCUGCCCCCAGAAAUGGCUGCAGCCCCUUGAGUGCUCCAACAUAAGUAGGGACAAAAUCUUCUGUCUCUGGCUGUCCUUAGCACAGAUAAGCCUGGCUGGACCUGUCAGAGAAAAUUGAAGAACAAAAGGAGCACACAGGAGGGAUAAACACAAAGAAGGCAAGAAUGAUAAAAUGCUCUGCUUAGAAAGUGCAAAUUUCUGAACCUGCCUGAGCCACCGAGCUCUGAAGGCUCAAGGGCCCUUCUCUUUCUAUAAUUUUCUCCUGAGGAUGAUGCUAUGCUUAACCUGAAAAGAGAGCAGGGCGCCUGACUUCCUGGCUUCUCAGCAAUGGUGUCACUAGUUAUAGAUGCCUCUCCGCAGAAAGUCUGAGUUCUCCUUUUGUUCUUCUCAUGCAGACAGUAUCAAAGCAGCUCACCCUUCUUCCAGCAGGAAACGUGAAUGUGUGAAAAGAGCGACCAUUUGUUAGACUCUGUUUCUGGCCCAGCAUCAUGAUGUUUCUUAGGGUAAGGGGCAGGGGAGGAUGGAGAGGCAAUAGUGAAGAAACUGUUUUGUGAUUCAGAGGAAAGAGCAAGGUGACAAAAAAAAAAAGGACCAUGAUUUAAUUUUAAUUAAAAUUAAAUAGGCAUACAUGACUGGUGGUUAAUGUUUUAGUGAAGCUCAAGAGACUAAGCGUGGCAGGGGCCCAGCAGAAAGUAGGUCCAGCAUCUCUGCCGCAAAGGCAAAGUCAUCCCCCGUCCUGCCCUGCCCCGCUCCACCCCGCCUGCUGGUCAAGGCCCCUCUGUCUCCCUCCUCCUGAAAGAGCACUGGACUAGAGUGUAGGUCAAGAGUGGCAAUGAUUUGGCUGUUGGCUAGUGGCCUCCUGCCCUAGCCUGGCUGUUUGUGCCCACAACCACCCACCAGCCUGAAGGAUCAGGUUGCUGCUUUGAUUUAGCCUCUCUAUUGCCACUCAGCCCGCACCUUUGCUGUCUCACCCUCCUGUACAGUGAGGCCUUUCCCUGUCCAUUUGAUUCCUAUUAGAGAACCAGGCAUUUCCCCGGUGACGGUGGAAAUAAGGUAUUCCAGGUGCAUGCUGUAAGGAAGGCGCAUGCGCGCAUAUGCAUGCGCACACGCAUGCGCCGUCUAGACCAAGGCGGGCACCUGUUCCAUCCCAGGGAGUAGAGGCGGCCACAUUCCCAAGGGGUUCUGUUACAGGCGGCCACAGGCUCCAAAGCCCAGAGCUGAUUCUGCUCUGGCUCCACUUCUUUCCUCUGCUGUCUGCUUAGUAAAGGAGCAAAGGCCAGGCCCAAGGCCCGCAGGUCACUAUAGAGUAUGGUGACCCCUAAGAAAACAAGAUCAACCGUCUUCAGGGCCCAUCCCCAACCUGCAAGGGGUCCCUGAGUUUACUAGUUAUUUGGGGUCACAAAGAUCCCAAGCAAUUUGCACAGUCUCCUUGCUGCCACUCCUCUCCUAACCAGAAGCAACCAGGGAGCGAGACGCCACUUCACAUGGGACAAAGGUGGAUGUGAGAUGUGCAAGACCAGACCCUGAGGAAGGGCCACGGUGACCCAAGGGCUGGGCCCUUCAGCCUAAACUUACCUCUAGACUGAAAGGUGAUAGGUCCCAGGCGGAGCCCAGAGGGAGGGGGUGGGCAGCUGAGAUGGAGGCCAGGCUGGAAGGACUGGAGGGGAGCCAACACUGGUGUGUCUGCACACAGGAGCUGGGAGAGUCUCCCUAGAGCCUCAGGGCUCUUCCAGCAAAAGGUAAAGUUUGAAACCCCCCCCCACACACACUCAGAGGAGUCCAGCCCUCCUGCAGCGCUCUUACACCCCAUCCCUGCAACCUGCAACUUGGCCUCCACCCCUUCCCCACACUCUGCCCCUACUAUCCGACAGAGUUUUGAGCCAGGGCCGUAGGGGCCCUGAAGGGAGGCCGGUCUUCUCUUUCACCUUGGUUCCUGGGACGCGCUGCGUCAUCAUGGCAGAGGCCAAGAGCUAGAUCCCGUGCCCGGGAUGCAGACUGAGCAGAAAGGGUGGAGGAGGCUGAGCAUGGAGUUGUGGACCAUCUCUCACCCUGCCCAGAGCCCCCAGCACCCCAGUUCUUGCCAUGUGCCCUCUUGUGGGUGCUGAUGGGGCAUGGUGAGAGAUGCAGUGCACAGCCACAGCCUCCUCUCACCAGACCCUGGGACUCACCCUCUGCCCCCCACUCUCAGACAUCUGUUGAAUCCCUGACUUCAAGCCUCACAUGGUGAAGCUCCUCCCUGCGGAAAUAAAGGGUUCAAGAAGGAUCUGGAAGGAGACAGAAACUCAGCUCAGCUGGCACAUCAAGGUCAGGGGCCUCACCUCUCCUAAUUUUAAAGAGAAAGAUCUGUAAGCAGAGGAGAGAAGCCAACUGAGUGACCCCUGAGUGGAAAUCAGGGCAGAAAUCUUUUGCAACAGAAUCCCCAUGGGAAACAUGACAAAAUUAGCAACAGGAAUGAGGUCUCCCUCGGAGGAUACAAGAAUCACUGGGUUGAAAAUAACCACAAGGUCAUCUAGUUCAGCUGCCACCACUUGCCUGAAUUUUUCCAGAAAUUUUUGGACAAGCAGUCAUCCAGCCUCAUCCAGCAGCUCAGUACUCAGCAGCCCCCUCCUGAUGGCGGGCAAGGUUUUAAAGGCCCCUGGGGCUCUCGUGCUUCCAGGGGCAGCUCGCAGAGGGCAGCGGGCAGCAGGCAGCACACAGGGGCCCGGGUCCAGCGCUUCCCUCCCUCCGGCUGCUGUGUUUAUACUCCAUUGAUUCACAGCAAAGACUCUUGGCGAGAUCAAGAUUUCUUUACACCGCUUGUGUGGCUGCUUUAGUGAACCAGCCUUAAAACAUGCCCCCGAGGAGGUCAGUUUUUGGUUAUCGUUGGCUUUAAUUCCUGGAAAAGUUCUGGAAAUCACGAUUUCAGAACCAGAAAGAGCUUCGGCAUCUCGUCCAGCCACCUCACAAUGACUCGUGAGAACCGAAGGGAGCCUGGAGCCUAGGGUGGAAUUCAGACCUUAUUCCCCACUGUUCCCCCCAGUGCCCUCUGAGCUGCAGUCCCAGUGGCUCUGGGACCCUCCAGAGGGUGCUCAGUGGCCUCUCUAGGGUCUCGUGUUACCUGAUCCACUGCAGCCCUGGCCCUGUGGACUCCUCCCCGGUUCUCAGCUCCUCCCUUGGUCUUUGCAGCCCCAUUCCUGGCUAGUAGGCUGGGGAAAGGGUGUGCAGUGUCCAUGCCUUUUCAGUGCCUCGCUUUCCCCUGUCUCCACCUGUGCACAAGCCUAGAAGCGCUCCAAACUCUCUCCUUUUGGAUUUUUUUAAUGGAGGCUUCAUUGUAUUGACUGAUUAAAUCAUCAGCCGCUGGUGAUUGAAUGUAAUCUCCAGCCCUCCCAGGAGACUGGGGUUUGUGCAGCCACUCCUUGACCACUGCCCCCUCCAACCAUUUCAGCCACUAAGUCUUACUCGCCUUAAAAAUAGUCGUGCUUGUUUGGGCAGCUUCUCUCCACGGAUUGAGUCUUUCACAGCUACAUUUUUUGAUCAGUAUCUACCCUUUGCUUCCACUUCAUCCCCUUCCCUCCAGCUGUCACCACAGUUUUUAUCUGUCUUACGCCCCAGCACUCCCCUGGACCUGCUCUCACCAGCGGACUUCACCUUCCUAAUUCCAAUGUUUACUUUUAGUCCCUGCCUUGCUUGAUGGCCUCAUAAUGUUUGGCACAGCUGACUGUACCCUCCCUUGUAAAACUCUCCUUUCGCUUGGGUUCCUCGACCCGAUGUUUUUCUCCUAACUUCCGAGUAGGCUCUUUUGCCUACGUGACCCAGGCCUUGAAAUCCUGGAGUCACGUGGCACUCUGUCCCGGAGCUCCUUCCUGAGUCAGCCCACCUCUUUCCUCGUGAUCCCAUCCGCCCCGGUGACUUGGCUCGCCAUCUGUCUGUAAACGAAUGGCCCUUUAAUCUGUGGCACCUGCUCAGACUUGCUCCUGAGCCAGAAUGUCACCACGGGAUGUUGCAUAUGUAUAGCUCUCUGACCCUCGAUGUGUCAGAAGCUGACUCAGAACCUUCUCCCUGGUCUCACCGUCACCACCCAUCACUCUGCAUCCCAGGAAACAGCUUACACUUGCUAUUCAAGGCAGACCCUGAGGGCCUUGAACCCCUUUCCCUUCUUAACCACCCCACUCCUCUUCUAAUAGGCUCUAAGGUCAUGUCCUUCUCUCUAAUGCAGCUGUCCCAGGCUCUGACCAUCACUUCUUAUUUGCAUGUAGCAGACACCUCUAACCACACCUCCCUGUGUCCACUCUUGACCUCUUCCAAUCCAUUCUCAUGUUGCAGCCAGAGAGGAUGUUACAAGGCGCACAUGGGAUUAUGUCACCUGACUGUUUCAAAGCCUUCAAUGGUGCCCAUGUUUAGGAUGGCACCCCAAACCUCAACAUGGCUGGAUUUCUGUCUCACAAUGCUUUUUCUCAAACACAGCUCUCCAGCUUAAUUCAACAUUUUCAUUUCUUCCAAUGCCUCCACUCUUUUUCAUGUCUAAUUAGUUAGCAUUCCCUGCCCAUUAGAUUUAAAUUUAAAGACCCAUGACGUUAUGAAUCUGUUUUAUUCACCACUAUACAUAUAUAGCAAUUAGCACAAUGUCUGACAAAUAUUUGGAAACUACAUGAUUUAUUUAUUCAGAAAAUAGUUUUUAAAUGCCUGGUCUGUGUCAAGCUCCAUUCUUGAUUCUUGGUGAUGUGGAAAUAUUUUUUUUAAAAGAGAGACAAAACCCUUUGCCCUUAAGGAGUUAUAUUCUACUAGAGAGAGAGAAACACAAUGAGAAGAAUAGGUGGUAUAUCUGAUGGUGAUAACUGCCAAAGAAAAAAAUUAAGUAGGGAAGGAGGGGGGAUAAAGAAAGAAAGGAGGCAGACAGAAGGAGAGAUGGAGAGACAGAGGGAAGGAGAGAUGGAGAGACAGAGGGAAGCAAGCAGUUAUUUGGGGGAAGAACAUUCCAACAAGGAGAGUGGCAAGUUCAAAGGUCCUGGAUGGAUAUAUGCCUUCAGAGUUCAUGGCCAGAAAGAAGGUCAGUAUGACUAGAGAGAAUGAGGCAGGGAGAGCAGUGGAAGAUCAGUGUGGAGACUCGAAGGGCUCCCUGAUGCAGGGCUGGUGGUCCUGAGGGAGCUGUCGCCGUGUGUGCAACGCAGAGCUGCUGGAGCGCUCUGGGUAGAGGGUUGCUGUGGCAGGACGAGGAUUUCAGCGGUCUCACUCAGCAUGCCAGCAUGCUCUGUUGGAAACAGACUGAACAGGAGUAAGGAUGGGAGCAAAAGUGCCUGGUAGGAGGCUGCUGCCGCCACCCAGGUGAUCCAUAAUGGCAGCUGCAACCAGGGUGGUAGCAGAGAGGUUGAAUCCUUUACACAUCGUGAAGGUAGAGGUGACACAGUUUCCUGAUGAUCGGAAUGUAGCAUUUACGAGAAAGAGGAAUCGAGAACGAUUCCAACGGUAACCCUAAGUUUGGUUUCGGAAUCUUGGAAUCUGUUUCUGUUUUGUAAGUUCUGUGGUAUCAAAUGCCACGGGUUAGUGAUGUCAUGUUACUUGUUUUUCCAAGUGGGAAAUGUGGGGAGAGAAAUAAUUUGGGAGGUUGGGACUAACAUGUACACACUGUGAUAUAUAAAAUUGAUAAGUAACAAGGACCUACUUCCCAGCACAGGUAAAUCUACUCAAUGAUGUACAGGGUAAAAGAGACUGAAAAGGAAUGAUUCUAUGUAAGUGUGUGUGUGUGUGUGUGUGUGUGUGUGUGUGAGAUUCACUUUGCUGUGCACCUGAAACUAACACAACAUUGUAAGUCAAUUACACUCCAAUAAAA
rnacentral:lncRNA from 1 species